GACGAACGCUGGCGGCGCGCCUAACACAUGCAAGUCGAACGAGCGAGCGAGAGCUUGCUUUCUUGAGCGAGUGGCGAACGGGUGAGUAACGCGUGAGGAACCUGCCUCAAAGAGGGGGACAACAGUUGGAAACGACUGCUAAUACCGCAUAAGCCCACGGUGCCGCAUGGCACAGAGGGAAAAGGAGCAAUCCGCUUUGAGAUGGCCUCGCGUCCGAUUAGCUAGUUGGUGAGGUAACGGCCCACCAAGGCGACGAGCGGUAGCCGGACUGAGAGGUUGAACGGCCACAUUGGGACUGCGACACGGCCCAGACUCCUACGGGAGGCAGCAGUGGGGAAUAUUGCACAAUGGGGGAAACCCUGAUGCAGCGACGCCGCGUGGAGGAAGAAGGUCUUCGGAUUGUAAACUCCUGUUGUUGGGGAAGAUAAUGACGGUACCCAACAAGGAAGUGACGGCUAACUACGUG
rnacentral:rRNA from 1 species